rnacentral:rRNA from 1 species
GGGUGAGUAACGCGUGAGGAACCUGCCUCAAAGAGGGGGACAACAGUUGGAAACGACUGCUAAUACCGCAUAAGCCCACGACCCGGCAUCGGGUAGAGGGAAAAGGAGCAAUCCGCUUUGAGAUGGCCUCGCGUCCGAUUAGCUAGUUGGUGAGGUAACGGCCCACCAAGGCGACGAUCGGUAGCCGGACUGAGAGGUUGAACGGCCACAUUGGGACUGAGACACGGCCCAGACUCCUACGGGGGGCAGCAGUGGGGAAUAUUGCACAAUGGGGGAAACCCUGAUGCAGCGACGCCGCGUGGAGGAAGAAGGUCUUCGGAUUGUAAACUCCUGUUGUUGAGGAAGAUAAUGACGGUACUCAACAAGGAAGUGACGGCUAACUACGUGCCAGCAGCCGCGGUAAAACGUAGGUCACAAGCGUUGUCCGGAAUUACUGGGUGUAAAGGGAGCGCAGGCGGGAAGACAAGUUGGAAGUGAAAUCCAUGGGCUCAACCCAUGAACUGCUUUCAAAACUGUUUUUCUUGAGUAGUGCAGAGGUAGGCGGAAUUCCCGGUGUAGCGGUGGAAUGCGUAGAUAUCGGGAGGAACACCAGUGGCGAAGGCGGCCUACUGGGCACCAACUGACGCUGAGGCUCGAAAGUGUGGGUAGCAAACAGGAUUAGAUACCCUGGUAGUCCACACUGUAAACGAUGAUUACUAGGUGUUGGAGGAUUGACCCCUUCAGUGCCGCAG